UACGUAGGGUGCGAGCGUUAAUCGGAAUUACUGGGCGUAAAGGGUGCGCAGGCGGUUUUGUAAGCCGGAUGUGAAAUCCCCGGGCUCAACCUGGGAAUGGCAUUUGGGACUGCAAGGCUAGAGUGUGGCAGAGGAGACUGGAAUUCCCGGUGUAGCAGUGAAAUGCGUAGAUAUCGGGAGGAAUACCGAUGGCGAAGGCAGGUCUCUGGGCUGACACUGACGCUCAUGCACGAAAGCGUGGGGAGCAAACAGG
rnacentral:rRNA from 1 species